GAUGAACGCUGGCGGCGUGCCUAAUACAUGCAAGUCGAGCGAACAGACGAGGAGCUUGCUCCUCUGACGUUAGCGGCGGACGGGUGAGUAACACGUGGAUAACCUACCUAUAAGACUGGGAUAACUUCGGGAAACCGGAGCUAAUACCGGAUAAUAUAUUGAACCGCAUGGUUCAAUAGUGAAAGACGGUUUUGCUGUCACUUAUAGAUGGAUCCGCGCCGCAUUAGCUAGUUGGUAAGGUAACGGCUUACCAAGGCAACGAUGCGUAGCCGACCUGAGAGGGUGCUCGGCCACACUGGAACUGAGACACGGUCCAGACUCCUACGGGAGGCAGCAGUAGGGAAUCUUCCGCAAUGGGCGAAAGCCUGACGGAGCAACGCCGCGUGAGUGAUGAAGGUCUUCGGAUCGUAAAACUCUGUUAUUAGGGAAGAACAAAUGUGUAAGUAACUAUGCACGUCUUGACGGUACCUAAUCAGAAAGCCACGGCUAACUACGUG
rnacentral:rRNA from 1 species